GAAAGAGAGGUGACCACUGACCGCUGUCACCCACUGGUGGGACCAUACACACCCCUGGUCAGCGGGAAUGUCGUGCCCCGACACCACCCCCAGUACUCCAGCCUUUGCCAAAACCAAAGUGACACAGGCACCACAGGCGAGGUUCGGAGGCCAUGAGGUCAUACCAGUGAUGGCACUUGCUGUCGACCAGUGAGAUGUGGGGCCCGUAGGCGGAGGGGUGCUAGGUGCCUGCGAGGGGAGAGUGAAGGGAGUGUGCCGGGGGAAGUGAGACAUUCAUUAGGAGAGCCAAGCUGACGCUGUCACCCUCACCCUCGCCUGCUUCUAAGGAGCCUGCUCAGACACACGCCAGCCUCAGCUGCUACCCAACCACUGUGCUCUGCAACGACAUGCCUUCGACAUUCAAGUCACAGUUUGUGUGUGCAUAAUAGGCAGAUGAUAGAGUGAGGAGAUGAAGACGCAGAAACAGAGACAGACACAGUUUUGCAAGCUACCAGGGUCCUCUGCUCUCCUCAUCUCUUAUCUGGCUCCAUUCGACUCCUGUUCCCGGGGACCAUGGGGAAGGACAAGUCCUGGCUGUCCUGGCUCUUGACAGAGGAGAUAAAUCACUCAGCACACCGGAGGAUAGCCUUCCAGUCGGCAAGCUGGGAACUUCAUUAUCCCGCCCCUGCCACACAUUACCAUGCAGAUCGUCACUGAUUGGGCUGGCGCUGUGGCAUGCGCAGCCUACUUCUGUC